GCGGCGGCACGUGGGACGGAUCUCUUGGAUUUACCCGUAACGAGGAGCGGCGCACCCCAGGAGCCCCGGCAGCACCCCAGGAGCCCCGGCAGCACCCCAGGAGCCCCGGCAGCACCCCAGGAGCCCCGGCAGCACCCCAGGAGCCCCGGCAGCACCCCAGGAGCCCCGGCAGCACCCCAGGAGCCCCGGCAGCACCCCAGGAGCCCCGGCAGCACCCCAGGAGCCCCGGCAGCACCCCAGGAGCCCCGGCAGCACCCCAGGAGCCCCGGCAGCACCCCAGGAGCCCCGGCAGCACCCCAGGAGCCCCGGCAGCACCCCAGGAGCCCCGGCAGCACCCCAGGAGCCCCGGCAGCACCCCAGGAGCCCCGGCAGCACCCCAGGAGCCCCGGCAGCACCCCAGGAGCCCCGGCAGCACCCCAGGAGCCCCGGCAGCACCCCAGGAGCCCCGGCAGCACCCCAGGAGCCCCGGCAGCACCCCAGGAGCCCCGGCAGCACCCCAGGAGCCCCGGCAGCACCCCAGGAGCCCCGGCAGCACCCCAGGAGCCCCGGCAGCACCCCUCCCCCGGAGGGGGAUCCCGGCGCGCCACCCUCCCCCGGAGGGGGAUCCCGGCGCGCCACCCUCCCCCGGAGGGGGAUCCCGGCGCGCCACCCUCCCCCGGAGGGGGAUCCCGGCGCGCCACCCUCCCCCGGAGGGGGAUCCCGGCGCGCCACCCUCCCCGGCAACAACCUGUUGCCAUGUAUGGCGAUUUGUAUCAGUCACAAGCACACAACCCCUGCUAGUAUUAAUGGUGUUUAAGACGUUCUACAUGUACGGCGGACCGCAUCCGUCGCAAGCACGCGCAUAUAACCCCCAAAUGCCCCAUGAUGAGAAGCACAGCCACGCGUCAAAAAACUUUAAAAACAUCGUUAUCCAAUAUCAUUAAAAACCACACCGAAAUUUACACAGGUAGCACGUGACCGUGUUAGUGUCACCCACUGUACACAAGGCGUGUCGUAUAUGUAGUAUAGGUAUUUGAUGAGGCGGAAGCAUAUCCCGCUUCCAGCGAACGGAAACAAGAAUCAUCCGUUCCAGCAUUUAUUCAAAGGGGGCACAGAGGAUUCACAUUGUUUAGAGAGAGUUUUUCUUAGUCACCAUUCCAUACUUGGGCAGUAUUGGCCUACGAUUUGGGCGACGUUUCAGGCUGGUCUAUUCUCCGUCCACUUUUCCCCGGCUAUUCUGUCCCAGCAUAGGCUCUUGAAAUAAACAAUGUUUACCGAGUAAAA
rnacentral:lncRNA from 1 species